rnacentral:rRNA from 1 species
UACGAAUGGGGCAAGCAUUGUUCGGAUUUACUGGGUUUAAAGGGUAUGUAGGCGGUUUUCCAAGUCUGUUUGUGAAAGCCCGGGGCUCAACCCCGGAAUAGCAUCGGAAACUGGAUCACUUGAGUAUGUAGGAGGAGAGAGGAAUUCUUGGUGUAGCGGUGAAAUGCGUAGAUAUCAAGGAGAAGACCAACGGCGAAGGCAUCUCUCUAUUACAAUACUGACGCUGAGAUACGAAAGCUAGGGUAGCGAACGGG